UGGUUACCGUGGAGGCCUGUGGGCGGGGAGUCCCGUGACGGGUAGCUCAGUGCGCGGUGACGGCGGCCGGCAGGCAGGAGAGGAGAACGGGGGGAGGGGGGCCAGCGAUAGCGGCCGAGGGGGAUGGCGGCUCCUUCACGGAGUGAUAGAGGGAAGAGCCUCAUGCUCCACUUGUCAGAGUUACAGUGAACUGAAUGGAUGUCCGUUUGUCUUGUCUCAAGGCAAGUCUUAUUCAUCCCAACUGAACAGGCAGAUCAUUUCAAUUGUUGUCAGGGAGAAUGCCU